rfam:Pannonibacter phragmitetus strain 31801, complete genome.
GAGGGCGCACCCAUCAUAACUUGCUGUUUCGGGCCGCCGCAUAGCAACCUUGCCAAGGUUGGAGUCAAGGGUUCGAAUCCCUUCGCUCUCU